rnacentral:rRNA from 1 species
UUCCGGUUGAUCCUGCCGGACCCUACUGCUAUCGGGGGAGGACUAAAACAUGCAAGUCGUGCGCGCCAGACGCGGCAUCCGGCUCAGUAACACGUGGCUAACCCACCCUUGAGACGGAGAAAACCCCGGGAAACUGGGGUUAAUCUCCGAUAAGAGAAGACACCUGGAAUGGGUCUCCUCUCAAAGCUUCUGUGCUCAAGGACGGGGCCGCGGCCGAUCAGGUUGUUGGUGAGGCAACGGCUCACCAAGCCUAUAACCGGUACGGGCCGUGAGAGCGGGAGCCCGGAGAUGGGCACUGAGACAAGGGCCCAGGCCCUACGGGGCGCAGCAGUUGCGAAAACUCCGCAAUGCACGAAAGUGUGACGGGGCUACCCCGAGUGCCGUCCGCUGAGGGCGGCUUUUCCCCGGUGUAAGGAGCCGGGGGAAUAAGGAGAGGGCAAGUCUGGUGUCAGCCGCCGCGGUAAUACCAGCUCUCCGAGUGGUGUGGAUGUUUAUUGGGCCUAAAGCAUCCGUAGCUGGCUGAGUUAGUCCCCUGUUAAACCCACCGAAUUAAUCGUUGGAUUGCGGGGGAUACUGCCAGGCUAGGGGACGAGAGAGGCAGACGGUAUUUUCGGGGUAGGGGUGAAAUCCUAUAAUCCCGGGAAGACCACCAGUGGCGAAGGCUGUCUGCUAGCACGCGCUCGACGGUGAGGGACGAAAGCUGGGGGAGCAAACCGGAUUAGAUACCCGGGUAGUCCCAGCUGUAAACGAUGUGGGCUAGGUGUUGGGGUGGCUACGUGCCACUUCAGUGCCGCAGGGAAGCCAUUAAGCCCGCCGCCUGGGGAGUACGGCCGCAAGGCUGAAACUUAAAGGAAUUGGCGGGGGAGCACCACAAGGCGUGAAGCUUGCGGUUCAAUUGGAUUCAACGCCGGA